UAACCAGGUUCACCUGGAAGAAAGGCUG
rnacentral:piRNA from 1 species